rnacentral:rRNA from 1 species
AUAUUGGACAAUGGGGGCAACCCUGAUCCAGCCAUGCCGCGUGAGCGAGGAAGGCCUUCGGGUCGUAAAGCUCUGUCUAGGGGGAUGAAACAUGACAGUACCUCUGGAGGAAGCCCCGGCUAACUACGUGCCAGCAGCCGCGGUAAUACGUAGGGGGCAAGCGUUGUCCGGAAUUAUUGGGCGUAAAGCGCGCGCAGGCGGCCUUUUAAGUCUGAUGUGAAAGCCCCCGGCUUAACCGGGGAGGGUCAUUGGAAACUGGGAGGCUUGAGUGCAGAAGAGGAAAGUGGAAUUCCAAGUGUAGCGGUGAAAUGCGUAGAGAUUUGGAGGAACACCAGUGGCGAAGGCGACUUUCUGGUCUGUUACUGACGCUGAGGCGCGAAAGCGUGGGGAGCAAACA